AUUGAACGCUGGCGGCAGGCCUAACACAUGCAAGUCGAGCGAGCGGCGGACGGGUGAGUAAUGUAUGGGGACUGCCCGAUAGAGGGGGAUAACUGCUGGAAACGGUGGCUAAUACCGCAUACUAUCUGAUGACCCAUAUGGGAUUAGCUAGUAGGUGGGGUAAAGGCUCACCUAGGCGACGAUCACUAGAUGGUCUGAGAGGAUGAUCAGCGACACUGGGACUGAGACACGGCCCAGAGACGAAGGGGGGCAGAAGUGGGGGAUAUUGAACAAUGGGCGAAAGACUGAUGCAGCGAGGCCGCGUGGGGGAUGCGGGCUUUCGGGUUGUAAAGUUAGUUCGCUAUCGAAAGGGUAGGUGGAGAAGAAGCGCCGGCUAACUACGUGCCAGCAGCCGCGGUAAUAC
rnacentral:rRNA from 1 species